rnacentral:rRNA from 1 species
GAUGAACGCUAGCGGCAGGCUUAACACAUGCAAGUCGAGGGGUAUAGUUCUUCGGAACUAGAGACCGGCGCACGGGUGCGUAACGCGUAUGCAAUCUACCUUUUGCAGAGGGAUAGCCCAGAGAAAUUUGGAUUAAUACCUCAUAGUAUGUGAGAAUGGCAUCAUUUUCACAUUAAAGUCACAACGGCAAAAGAUGAGCAUGCGUCCCAUUAGCUUGUUGGUAAGGUAACGGCUUACCAAGGCCACGAUGGGUAGGGGUCCUGAGAGGGAGGUCCCCCACACUGGUAAGGAGACACGGACCAGACUCGUACGGGAGGCAGCAGUGAGGAAUAUUGGACAAUGGGCGCAAGCCUGAUCCAGCCAUGCCGCGUGCAGGAUGACGGUCCUAUGGAUUGUAAACUGCUUUUGUACAGGAAGAAACACUGGUUCGUGAACCAGCUUGACGGUACUGUAAGAAUAAGGAUCGGCUAACUCCGUGCCAGCCGCCGCCGUAAUAC